UCUAGGGAUGGCAACGGGUAGGGUACCUGCGAAACUGAGAGUACCCAAAUCCGAACCCGAUUAUAUGUAAAAUUCCCGAAUCCGUCCCAAACCCGUUUAGUAUUUUAAUUUUAAUACCCGUACCCGUUCCAAAUCCGUUUAACAAUACCCGUACACUACCCGAACCCGACCGAACCCGAUUUUUUUACUUCAAUUCAAGCAAAUAGAAUCACAUAAUUCACUCAAAACUGUUCCCACAUAAGCAUAAGAAAUUAAGAACACCCAAGGUCAUAUGCAUAGAAGAACAAAAAGAUUUUUCCAGAAGUCANNNNN
rnacentral:lncRNA from 1 species